rnacentral:sRNA from 1 species
AAAAUUUGGAGAAAGAGCUUUCAAAGCAUGGGCAGUAGCUCGCCUGAGCCAGAGAUUUCCCAAAGCUGAGUUUGCAGAAGUUUCCAAGUUAGUGACAGAUCUUACCAAAGUCCACACGGAAUGCUGCCAUGGAGAUCUGCUUGAAUGUGCUGAUGACAGGGUAAAGAGUCGUCGAUAUGCUUUUUGGUAGCUUGCAUGCUCAAGUUGGUAGAAUGGAUGCGUUUGGUAUCAUUGGUGAUAGCUGACAGUGGGUUGAGAUUGU